CUUAACCUGGGAAUGGCGUUUUGAACUGGCAGUCUAGAGUGCGUCAGAGGGGGGGUGGAAUUCCACGUGUAGCAGUGAAAUGCGUAGAUAUGUGGAGGAACACCAAUGGCGAAGGCAGCCCCCUGGGAUGACACUGACGCUCAUGUACGAAAGCGUGGGUAGCAAACAGGAUUAGAUACCCUGGUAGUCCACGCCCUAAACGAUGUUAACUGGUUGUUGGGGGAGUGAAAUCCCUUAGUAACGAAGCUAACGCGUGAAGUUGACCGCCUGGGGAGUACGGUCGCAAGAUUAAAACUCAAAGGGAUUGACGGGGACCCGCACAAGCGGUGGAUGAUGUGGAUUAAUUCGAUGCAACGCGAAAAACCUUACCUACCCUUGACAUGUCCAGAAUCCUGCAGAGAUGCGGGAGUGCCCGAAAGGGAAUUGGAACACAGGUGCUGCAUGGCUGUCGUCAGCUCGUGUCGUGAGAUGUUGGGUUAAGUCCCGCAACGAGCGCAACCCUUAUCAUUAGUUGCUACGCAAGGGCACUCUAAUGAGACUGCCGGUGACAAACCGGAGGAAGGUGGGGAUGACGUCAAGUCCUCAUGGCCCUUAUGGGUAGGGCUUCACACGUCAUACAAUGGUCGGUACAGAGGGUUGCCAAGCCGCGAGGUGGAGCCAAUCCCAGAAAGCCGAUCGUAGUCCGGAUUGUUCUCUGCAACUCGAGAGCAUGAAGUCGGAAUCGCUAGUAAUCGCGGAUCAGCAUGUCGCGGUGAAUACGUUCCCGGGUCUUGUACACACCGCCCGUCACACCAUGGGAGUGGAAUCUGCCAGAAGUAGGUAGCCUAACCGCAAGGAGGGCGCUUACCACGGUGGGUUUCAUGACUGGGGUGAAGUCGUAACAAGGGUAAC
rnacentral:rRNA from 1 species